UCCCUCAGACAUUGCAAUCUGCACACAUGACAUUGUGAAGAGCUGGCUUCCUCUUUAUCACAGGAAGGCGCAGUGAGCCCUGAGGUGCUCAGAAGAGCGGCAGGUGUGGAACAGUAGCCGCUGUCUGUUUUGGAAGAAGGAAAUCCCACGGGUGGCUCCCUGCAUGCCCGCUCUCUGCUCUGGUCCAACCCAGGCCCAGCCUCCUCCCUGUGGAGCCCUCCACAGGCAGCUGUGCCCUCCGAAGCCCUCUGGGCCUGCUGCUCCGCAAUGAGAAUCCCAGGUAGAUGGACAGAAGAGGAAUUUAAGGUCUGUCUCUUGUGCGCUCCCAGCUCACUCCCGGACCCCACCACACAAGUUGCUGUGGAAGCAUCUGGUCACCCAGGGCUCCUUCCUGGAGGGGCCUGGAGCCCAGGAACACUGCAGGAAGAACACAGAAUGUGCAGGGUGGCCUUGGCAACUGAGCAAUUGAAAAUUCUGUGAACACUUGUGAAGCAUGUAUGCACACAGAGUUGGCUGUUAACUUUGCGAUUGAUUAUUUUGCAUUUUGUUAUAAACAAUUAACCAUAAAACUGUGGUUUGCAAAGUCCUGCUGUUCAAUAGAGCGAUUAGCCCUGCUGCCGAUUAUCAUGUCUGUGUUCAAGAAAGAGAUGACGCAGAGGUUGGGAGAGUGGAUCCAGCAAGGGUCCUCUCAAAUCAACAACACCAAAAUCACUUGGAAAUCAAGGCUCAUCAUAAUCUGGACUGGAAGGAUUGAACAUCAGCACAAACCAGAAAAGAUCCCCGAGGAACAAGGUGUGGUGCACAGCUGAAAUCCAAGCUACUCUGGGAGCUGAGGCAGGAGGAUUGCAACUUUGAGUCCAGCCUGAGCAAUUUCACAAGACCCUGUCUACCAAAAGGAGGGGAGGGGUUUGUAAGCACUCCUUUCUUUUUAAAAUGGCUCACUUGUAUUCCCCAAACUAAAAGUCUCUUGUAUUUUCCCCUACUUCCAAAGCUGCUGCUUCUAAGUUUCCUUUUUAAAGGCCAGUUUCCUUUGCCUGACCAUGAAAGUUACGAUAUUCUCAAGUCUCGGGUUUCUCUUCCCUUCUAAUGCUGCACUCACGCUGUGUGACCAAAUCAUAGUUUUCUGGGGCAUCAGUUAUUCUCAAAAAACAACAGCUCACACAUUCCUAUAUCCAGUGUCAUAUUCAACUGUGCACUUGGUGUUUCUAAUCGGAUCUUUCAAUGGCAUCUCGGAUUUAACAGACCAAAUCUAAACUCAUAAUCUCCAAACAGGAUUUCUUCAGUUUCUCAUCUGUUUCUGGCAACUGUGUAACUAAAGAGGCUGAAAAUAAGGAACAAUAAAAAAGUCACCAUCUAUUUCAUUAGAGAGUUACUUUUCUAUAUCCAAAUCUACGGACAUCACCUGAGCCAUUCCAUAUCUGGUGCCUCUUUGACUCUCUGGCCCUCCCUGAGCACAGUAAUCUCUUUCCUGGCCUACUCUAUCAAGUCCCUUGCUGAUCUCCUCAUAGCUCUUCCAACCCCUUCUGUCACCCCAAAUCAUUUUAACACAACCCACCACUCUCUGGUUAGACUGUGUCAGUUACUCCUCUUUUGACACACAAGAAAGACCAAUAUUUGAGCUAGGCUGCAAGUUCUGACACGAAGCACUUCUACCUUUGUUCUCAUUAAAUAAAUAACAUUAGCGGGUUGAAUCAAUAAGAGAAAACAAUAGGUCCAAAGAGUAGAUAGUGAAAAAUUAGAAUGAAGAUAGAAGAAAGUGCCCUGUGGUCAAAGAUGUCAAUAAAUGCAUUGACUAUAGAGGGCAUGACCCAAAUUUAAGGUAUGGAUUGGCCUUGGAGAAGGGAGACAGUUUGGCCACUGAGGAGUCACGGUCAUUAGUCAGAUUUGGUCAUCACAUAGAAGUGUAGUUGUAUUAGCUUCAAUAAAGGCAUGGAGAGCAGAGCAUGAAAGAAUAUUCCCAGAAGCCUGGUACUGGAGUGAAAGAGAUGGAAGCAAGAGUUGAGAAAGAAUUUAUAGAACAAAAACCAGGAUUUUAAGAAAAAGUAACAAAAUCUUAAUUUUUAAUUAAUGGGCAAAUGGAAAAGAAAUGAGAAUAUUAAGUAUAGUGAAGUUUACUGAUCAAAGAAAUUUAUCAAUAAGGAAAAUGCACAGAUAAGACACUGAUAUGGUGUGGCUUGGUGACUGUUGCUUCAAGAAGCAUGGGGAUAAUGUGGGUUCCUGUGAUAUCGUUGAUGGACCAUGAACUGUUAAAAGAUACGUUACAGAAACAUCUGAUAAAACCAACCAGGGGUGGGAUGUGGUGAUAUUUCAAAAAUGUGCAGCAAAAUGAACUAACUGCUGUGUUUUCUUGAUGUUUUGCUCAUUACUUUGAGGUCAUGGCUUAUUUGUGUUGCUUUAUCUUUUUGCCACAAGCAGAAGACAGGGGAGAAAGACAGUAGCUCGAAGAGAAGACCUGAGAUGGGUCUGGAUGUAGCAGAGACUCUAGGUGGGCGCUGUGGAAACGCUCCGAGGAAGCUCUGAGUGCACUCAGAGACUGCGGAUGAGGACGGAUGGCAUGGAGCCCAAGGGCUCCACCUGAGAACUCUGCUCCUAAGUUACUCUCUUGGACCCCUGAACUUUUACAGUGACAAGCAGUAAAGAGGUGGAGGGUGACAGAUCAGAAACAAACUGAGAUGUGAAUAGCUGUGCCCCCUGACCUAGUUCACUUUGACACUGGCUUGAAUGUAUGCAAAAGGGUGUGUCUUAGUAACAGCACAGGUGUGAUCAGGAAACAGCACUUGUGGGUCACUAGGAAACACAGGAUUAGUGCUGAGGGUCAGGUGGACUCUCUCAGAGCAGAAAGUUUUGUAUUGUGUGAUCAUGUCAUGCUAGGGCAUCUGUAAUCCAGAAAGAUAAGUGCAUCCAAAGUUUGAUAAAACUGUCUACUUCUGUAUUUACAUAACGGUCUAUAUACAAAAGAUAGACUAAAAUGAUGCCACAGUUGUACAGGCAAACACACAACACUCAAAAGUCAUAAAUCUUUCAUAUCCCAAUUGUACCUCAUUCCCAUAUUAUUUAAGAUGUUAAGGUUUCCCAUAUUAUUUAAGUCACUACAUUAAUUAAUGAAAAUGCUUCUACCUUUGAAAGGUGUCUUUUGAAGUGAGACUGAUGUGUUCAUGUUUAGCAAAGUGAUCAUAAUCUCUUCCAUGCUGGCUUUACAAAGGAGAUUAAUUUGUGGACAGACUUUCUAAUUAAGGCUCCACAUGUGCCCAUGGGAAGAUGAUUUUAUCUGAAACCUUUGCUCUGAACACUGCUCUGCUAUUGUUGGCCUGUACAAGGAGCCCAGACUGCCUCUGACAGACUGCAGAUGUCAUGGGCAGGAGUUUAUUUAAUCAAUGGAUCCCAGGCAUGGGGUCCUCCGGACAAGCUCAAGGCAGCCAGCUGAGUCGUCCAAGAAGCAUAACUGCUCCGGAAGAAUGUUAACAUCUCAUAGCAUCUGCAGCCUCACUUGGAAAUGCCUCCACUCGGUGCUCAGUAAUAAUGACUCAGUCAUUUUUACAUCAUUUUUAACACAUCAAAAUGUAUAUGUAUAAAUUCUCAGUCUUAAAACAUCAUUUAAUAAAACUAAAGCAAUCGCUGUUCUAGUACAUGAGCACUGAGUGGAUUAAUUCGUGUGAAAGAAAAAUAAACUUCAUGAAGUAUUUCAGUAGCAACUUUUAAUCUUUUCCACAAUUCUCAGUUCCAAAUUGAAUUGAGAUAUUGCAUAAGAACUGGAGUUUUAAAUAUGAGUUGUAAAAUGAACCAAAUAAAGGUCGCUUGAAAGAAUUUCAGUUUUUAAAAUGGUUAUAACAAGUAAAAGAAUGAGUUUGACUCAAAGAAUGAGGAAAUCCUUGGCCUUUUGUGGAUCUCCUCAGCCAACACUUGUAGGCGGAGACAGUGAACACACAGUUGAAGUUCAACCAGCCUUCUAUUUGACUGUGCAGGAGCUAUGUAUUUAACUAGUCUUUAGCAAACACCGUAUCAUUGUUCAUAGCAUUGUAACUCAUGAAAGAAAAAGGCAAGUGUAGCUUUGUGAAGGGCAGUGUUGGUCUUAAGUGCUCGUCCAGUUUAUUAAUUUACAAAAUUCUUUUCAGAACCCUGCUCUAUACAUAGGUCAAUAUCUCAUAAAGAUCAUUGAAUUUGAAAGACAAAUAAGAAUUACUUAAAAUAAGUUUAACAAAGUAAGUGUAUAAUACAAUAUUUCUAUAAUGUUUUCAGUGCUUUACAUUCAAAGUAAUUGUAAUAUUUACAUUUUCUUUAUCAUUUACAGCUUUUACACACACACACAUACACACACACACCUGUUUAGAUUGGAGGCAAAAGAUUAUAUACGCAAAUAUGUUAGCAGACAAAAGUUAAUAUACUCGGUGUUUUAAAAAUACCAAAGUAUUUCAAGGAUAGUAAUAUUUCCAAAUUUAUUUAUUUAUUUUAUUUCAAUGUAAUACAAGUAGAUAUUAAUAAAGAAAAUGUUUUAAAAAGCAGUCUUCUUACUUCUAUGAAAAAAUACAUCAAAAUUUCAUAACAAAUUAAAGAAUAAUAUUAGUUAAUAUACCGUGUACCAUAAUCUUCACAACAUGGCCGAAAUGUUAGAGUACAAGUCAUAGACAAAAAAGAUUCUUACAAAAAAGAAACAAAUAGAUAACGGCACAAAACUUUGUUUUCAAUUAACCAAGAGGACCUAGCGGUAUACAGGAAACAAAUUAGCAUAUAUACUGAAAUAUGUUUGAAAGCAUGGAAUACAUAACUUGGG